rnacentral:tRNA from 1 species
GGCUGGUUAGCUCAGCUGGUCAGAGCGUGGUGCUAAUAACGCUGAGGUCAUGGGUUCAAUUCCCGUGCUGGGUU